GUUGUAAAGAGUCCUUGACAACCACCCAGUUCGUGGCAGAGACAGGGAGAACAGAGACUGCAGAGUCUUUGACUCUUUCUGGGGCUAACACCUGAGCCAUGGCGUCUGUAUCAUUUCGAGACCCAGUAUCUUCCACAGUGGGAAAACGGAUGAUUGUUACAGGCCCAGAUUAUAUAAAGGAUCAUCUACCAAAAAUUCAUCAGCACACUUCCUAUAUAGGAGAAAAGCGCCCAGCAUUAGAAAAGACUGGAGAUCUCAGAUAUUUAUGGAGGCCUGCCUCAAACAGAUGCUUACCGGCAAAAUAUAAAUAUGAGUAUGUUGGUGAAAUUGGUUGGGGAAUACCAGAGUAUGAUUUUAUCAACCAAACAAGGCUUUGGACUGGCUUUCACAUCAAGCAUGGAGAACAAAGCCAAGCCACUAUUGAUAAAAUAGGACACAGAUACCAAAAUCCAUGGCAACCAAAACCUUAUAUUAUGGAUAUGCAAGGAAGAUUCAGUCGUGGUUCUAUUGCCUGGCAUAUGGGUGAUUAUGAGAACACCGAUCAAAGAAAUUCCAAAGCGGCUGUCCUUGUCAGGCAGAGCACGGCAGAAUUGCCAAGAGCUUCCAAACAACCGAAGCUGCCAAAGCGACCAAGAAAGGAGGUCCGGAACUCCAGUGUCGGAGCUACGAAGAUGGGAAGCAGCAGGGGCACACGUCUGAUGACGUUUCAGUGGGGUACAUCUCCUGUAGUCUGUCUUCAAGAUGCAUGAUGCACUGGGGAGCCAACAACAUUCAGGAUGAGGGGCAGCAUUCAAACCUCUGCCAAUAUUCUAAGAGCUGGAAUUCUCUUCAUUCCUUUCUAAGUACACACCUAUAACCUCAUUUCUUUCAAAUACACAUAAAUAUUAUAGACCGCAUCAAACCCUACCACUGAAAAGCAAAGUUCGGCCACUAAAUCAGCAUGAUGCAGCUUGCUAUUAGAAAGAAAAACUGCCCACAAAUAUAGAACAAAAGUAAGGCCGUCAUAACCCGUAAGUGCUUCUCACAUCACCCCCUGGGACAGAGGUCCUGCGAGAGUAUGCUUCAGUAUAAAGCCCAAAU